rnacentral:lncRNA from 1 species
GUGGAGGCUGAGGCACAUAGAGGUGAGCAACUGACCCAGGUCACACAGAGAGUGCGUGGUGGAGCUGAUGCUGGAACCCAGGACACCUGUCUCCAUGGCCCUGGCUCUAGGACAUCUGCCAAAGCCUGAACUCAGCUUGGCACUGGCUUUCUAUCCACCUUCUGCCCAGCAGUGAAUGGAGUCAACUCUCCCAUUAAUGGAGCACCCUCUGGGGGAAGGGCAUUGUGUUUUCUGCUGAGCGCAAACACCUUCACAAUCUUCACAGAGCAACAAAUCAGAACUCAGCGAGAAGAGCAAUGCCAAAGAGGAGGCCUAGCGUGCAGACACACAUGAGCCUAGAGCAGCUGUGCCCACCCCAUGCCUCUACCAUUGACUCAGUGAGGACAGCUGUCUUUGAGAGUGGUGACGGUAGGGUUCUAGAGAAGAAGCAGGUCUGUUAAGCAAUCUGCGAGAUGGCCGGCCUCGGACCAAUCAAAGUCUACCAUUUUGUCUUAUCUAUCUAGAACCAUAACUCAAAAAUGAAAUUGCCCCAGCUUUUCUCCUCCCACCAUUAAAUUCCAUUCAAUCAUAGCAGGCAAAAUGCAGUCACGCUCAAGCAGCCAGAUGUUAUCAUUACAGACUGCUCUUUAUAAACCCAUGCUGAAACCUGAGUGGUUGAUGAGACCAGCUAAGCAGUUGUACCUUUGACCCGAUUGCAUUAAACUUGCCCUAUCAAUUUAAGCUCAGUAUAAACACCAUUUCCCAGAGCCCCUCGUGAAGUCAGCAGUGAGAAGAAGCUGACUAAGCCUAAACAUUUUUUAACAGCAAUCUUGUCUUACAACACCAAGGGGAUUUGCUGGGUAUCUGGGGCUUUAUAAAACCAUAUGAACAUGCUGAAAGAAUUAAAAUCCUUUAAAAAUGAAAAAUUGAUGGUGACAGUCCUGUCUGAAGACUAGCUGGUCUAAUGGCAACAUGGAAUGGGCACUUUUGUUUUUUUUUUUCUUUUUUUUUUGGUCUGAGACACUUU